AGUUGCUGCAGUUAAAAAGCUCGUAGUUGAAUUUCUGUUUGUUAGAGUCGAGUCUUCCAAGACGAGAUCUCUUCGGACAUCUGUUUGCAAUCAUAUGUUCGGUCUUCAUUGAUUGACUAUGUGAGCAAACGUUUUACCUUGAGAAAAUUAGAGUGUUCCAGGCAGGCUUCAGCCGGAAUACAUUAGCAUGGAAUAAUGGAAUAGGACUGGGGACUAUUUUUGGUUUGAGGCUCCAGUAAUGAUUAAUAGGAACAGUCGGGGGCAUUAGUACUUGACAGUCAGAGGUGAAAUUCUUGGAUUUGUCAAAGACUAACUAAUGCGAAAGCAUUUGCCAAGCAUGUUUUCAUUAAUCAAGAACGAAAGUUAGGGGAUCAAAGACGAUUAGAUACCGUCCUAGUCUUAACUGUAAACGAUUCCAUCUUGGAAUUGGGCGGAUAUAUUAUGAUUCGUCCAGCGCCAUAAGAGAAAUCAAAGUCUUUGGGUUCUUGGUGGAGUACGAUCGCAAGAUUGAAACUUAAAGGAAUUGACGGUUUUGCACACCAUGGAGUGGAGCCUGUGGCUUAAUUUGACUCAACACUGGGAAACUCAUCAGGACAAAAAAGUUUUAGGAUUGACAGAUUGAUAGCUCUUUC
rnacentral:rRNA from 1 species